UGAGGCUGCCACAGCAGCCGGUUCGUACUUUGGGCCUUCUGAGGUUUGUUCGGAUGAAGUUUAGUUUACGGUUUAUAUACAACGUAUUCAGUACAAAUUCUAGGAUAAGUGAGAAAUACAUCUACAGGUGAUGUAUUAAAGAGGACAUCAUUAGGAUCUUUAAUUCUUCGUUAAAAAAAUUUUAACUGAGAUUUUGAUUAACAAUAUGAUGUAUAUAUGAAGUUUGAGACAUUGUUAACUUGUUACAAACAUAACUAUUAAAUCACAUUCCGUCAUAAGAUAAUGAAAGGAGAAGGCAGAAGUAACACUUGGAUAACACAGAGGAAACUUUACAAGAAAGUCAUUACUGCAACAAAGAAGAUAAAAAUGAUUCAUAUAUCACAGAAACAAGGGGGGAGAAAUGAAAUCAAUUUGGAAAGUGAUCAGUGCAUCCUUAGUCAGAAGCAAAAGUUUUUCAAGCAGGCAAUGAAAUUUCACCAGAGAAGCUUCAAUUGUAGAAAUUACUAUGACAUUUAGUUCCCUCAAUUCGGUACAGCAGCUUUCAAAUAUACUCUUCAUUCAAAUGAUUAAAAUCAUUUCUUAUUUCAUAUUUUAUAUCAGGAUGAGUGCGCAUAUCUUCAUCCGAAACAAACCGAGUACCACGAGCGUCUUUCUUCAGGACUCCAAACAAUGGAAAUCACGAGGGUAGAGAUCAGUAUUGUAUGGAGAAUGUGUUAAGAGCUUCCCGUAAAACUUCUGCAACACAGCUGAGACAACCAUGGCAACAUUGGGCUGUUCAUUAGCUUCGGAUGAAGAGGCAAAUCACAGGUCUUUAUGCAACUGUAAACAUUCUUAUAUAAAGGCUUCCACCAUCUUCUCUCUCAGUGGGCCAUAUGUAUUAACGGGGGUAAAUGUAUUAACAGUUAUGGUGAUUACUUUUGGAAUAGUAAACAAUUUACUUACUUUUUUUC